CAUUCUCUCGUGUAUGAAGCCAACUCUUGUUGUAUGCAGCUUCCUGCAUAAGGGUCUUCAUCCCAAACAAUAACCAUGGCGGCUACUGAAAUAGCUAGGCAAGCGGGAGAAGGUGCUCGCGCCGUCCCUCUCGCCGGCCAUGUCGGUUUCGACAGCAUGCCUGACCAGCUGGUCAACAAGUCUGUCAACCACGGCUUUUGCUUCAACAUCCUCUGCAUUGGGGAGACAGGCCUGGGCAAGUCCACUCUCAUGGACACCCUGUUCAACACCAAGUUCGAGGGCGAACCCACCCAGCACAACCAGCCGGGCGUGCAGCUCAAGUCCAACACCUACGAGCUCCAGGAGAGCAACGUGCGUCUCAAGCUGACCGUGGUCAACACUGUGGGCUUUGGAGACCAGAUCAACAAAGAGGACAGCUACAAGUCUAUUGUGGAGUUUAUCGACACCCAGUUUGAGGCCUAUCUGCAGGAGGAGCUGAAAAUCAAGCGCACGUUACACAGCUACCAUGACACACGCAUCCAUGCCUGUCUGUACUUCAUCGCGCCCACCGGACACUCCCUCAAGUCCCUGGACCUGGUCACUAUGAAGAAACUGGACAGCAAGGUCAACAUCAUCCCCAUCAUCGCCAAAUCAGACGCCAUCUCCAAAAGCGAGCUGACCAAGUUCAAGAUCAAGAUCACCAGUGAGCUGGUCAGCAACGGUGUUCUGAUCUACCAAUUCCCCAUCGACGAUGAGACGGUGGCAGAGAUCAACUCCACCAUGAACGCCCAUUUGCCGUUCGCCGUGGUGGGAAGCACGGAGGAAGUGAAGAUCGGCAACAAGAUGGUGAAAGCGCGGCAGUACCCCUGGGGGACGGUACAGGUGGAGAAUGAAAACCACUGUGACUUUGUGAAGCUGAGAGAGAUGCUAAUCAGGGUGAACAUGGAGGAUCUUAGAGAGCAGACUCACACCAGACACUACGAGCUCUACCGUCGCUGCAAGCUGGAGGAGAUGGGCUUCAAGGACACAGACCCUGACUGCAAACCCUUCAGUCUGCAGGAGACGUACGAGGCCAAGAGGAACGAGUUCAUGGGAGAGCUGCAGAAGAAAGAGGAAGAGAUGAGGCAGAUGUUCGUCCAGAGAGUCAAGGAAAAGGAGGCUGAGCUGAAGGAGGCCGAGAAAGAGCUGCAUGAGAAGUUUGACCGGCUCAAGAAGCUGCACCAGGAUGAGAAGAAGAAGCUGGAGGACAAGAAGAAAUCCCUGGAUGACGAGCUCAACGGGUUCAAGCAGAAAAAGACGGCCGCUGAGCUCCUACAGUCCCAGGCUCUGCAGGCAGGGGGCUUCACCACACUCAAGAGGGACAAGGAGAGGAAAAACUGAUGUGAGCCCUGUCACCGGCCCCGUUAGAAAGAAAGAAGACACUUACACUGAGAAAGUUAAGGAUUCCUGUAAGAAUGAUUUUUCACCCCAUCCCUGGCAGUGCCAUGCUGUUCUCUGUGCCCUCCAGCCCCCCCCUCUCCCCCAUUCCAAACCCCACACAUGCCCCUGCACUGUGGAAGUAUCCAGCCAUUACUGUGAAUGGGAAUCCUUGACUCAAACACAUCCUUUUUGCGCUAAAGAUGCUUGUUUUUGUACGUUCUUUUUGUUACGAGCCAUCAUCCUCUGUUUGCCUGUUUGUUUUCUGUUGGAAAGUAGAUUUAUUUUCUUGUUGUUUUUGUUGUUGACCUGUUCUGCAUGACUGAGUGUGCUUUUUACUUUUACAUGCACAACUACUGCACAACUAUUGUUGUGACAGGCAGGAGUUUGUGGAGGCUAAGGUGAAAUGUAUAUCAGCUGUGGUCUGACCAGGCCAGUGGAGUGGGUGUGUUUGUGUGUGUGUGGACACAUGUUUACUAUACUUGUAAGUACCUGAAGUCCUCUCAAGAAUAGUAAACCACUUGUAAUAUGACUAUUUUAGGGUUAAAUUUUGGGUUCGAAUUACGGUUAGAGGUUAAGAUUAGGUUAAGAGUUAGGGUUAGCGGUUAGGGAAAAUUAGAUUUUGAAUGGAAAUCUUUUGUUGGUCCCCCAAAAGACCUCACUAGUAUAGUAAGACAUAGCUGUCUGUGAGCGUACUCAUUAGCAUCUUCCGGUCCAUGUUUCAGACCACCACUAUUCUACUCACUACCAGGGUAUAAUCAACCACUCCAAUAGUAUGACAUUAUGACGAUGUGCGCUGAUAUCGUGUUGCAAUAUAAUGUGUAAUUAUUGAAAAUGAAGAUACUAUUAUUGUAUGUUUUGAAUGAGGGCAUGUUGUCCACCACCUAUCAAGAGAGUAGCCUAGUUCCAGAUCUGUUUGUGCUUUUGCCUGCUCGUAACAUGGCAUGAAUAAUGAGUGACAGGGAGUUGGCAUGAUAGCACAAACAGACUGGCACUCAGGCUACGGAGAGAGUGAGUGUUAGUCAACUGUUGAUGUUAUUUCGUCUUAGCCUAGUGCAUGUGCAAAUAUGAAUGAUUUCUUGUCAUGUCUUUGCCCAUUCCUCAUUGUUUUUCAUAUACUGUACGCUAUCUGCAUACUUGUUAGCUUUUCACGUUUGCACAUUUUACAUUUUACACAAAUGUAAUUUUGUAUAUUUCCAGUGCAAUUGUGACUUUUAGAUUUUUUUCUACAUAUAACAUCAUAUUUGAAGCAUUUUAACCAAAUAACAAUAAUGUAGGGAUCAGUAUUGCACUUGUAUCAGUGUUACACAAAACAGACUUCAUCUCCAAGGGAAAUAAAGAGGGAAUUUCACCAAAUAUUUCAACUGUGGCCACGAUUAUUGUGUAAAUGAAAUAUUUAAUGAAGCAAUAACAUAGUAUGUAAGUGGGUUCUGCAUGUGAGGAUAUUAGUGUUUCACAUAGAUUCUGAUUACAGUUUAAAACACUAGCUUUGGUCUACAUAUUUAACUCUCAUUCAAGGGUUUUGAGAUAUCACGCCAUUGUUAUUGUCAAAACAACUCUCCUUACAGAGCUUUACAGAGCAAAAUAGUCUGCUAACCUGAAUUUAUAGGGCUGGAUCCUAACUUGGGAUAUGCGCACAUAACUUGGAAUUUCACAUAAAUCCUGAAUUGAAUUCAGUGGGAGACUUGCAUGAGCAUUUUAGUAUUCAGCCUUAUACUACUGCACUGCUUUUGUCUGAACAGACUGAGCCAGCAGUCAUUCUCCAUCCCUCCUGGAGAAACAGGAUAGGAACACUCCUUUAUUUGGCAGAUAAGUGUCAGUGCCAAUGAGAUUGUUGGGUUUUAUUUUCUAAUCCACUUCCUUCACAUCUGUAUCUUGAGGACAGGGUGUUGUUUAUCAGAAAAACAUUUCCACCCUCCAAAAACAUGUCUGUGUGUCCUUGCUCAAUAUAAUCAUGUGGGACAGUUGGUCUGACGAGUGUCCACAGAUGUGGGCCUUUUGUUUCCAUCUAAAUGUAUUGAAAUGGUCUCUUAAACUCUUACACAUUCUUGUACAAGGGUGUAGUAGGUAUGGUUUACAACUUCUCACAAUCCCUUCUCAAGUUGCUCUUUGUCUCAACAUUUCUGGGGAACUGUUGUCCUCAGCUCUUUGGGUUGGCAGGGUGUGCCUUGGUGUGUGGUGUCAUUCACACCCUGCUUCAGUCCCGCUGUUCACUGCUCUAUGUAUUUACCUUUCCUUUGCAGUAAUCCCUGGCUCUGCACUGAGUAGGUGCUUCCACCCUCAAGCUUUGCUAAGGGACCAGGCUUUGUGGGUAGCCAGUACCCCAAGGCUGAGGAGAGGCAUUGCGGACCCUGGUUGAAAAAAACAUUAAUCUGCUCUAUGUACUAACUAAAAGAUACCCCUAUACAGUUGAAGUGGGAAGUUUACAUACACUUAGUUUGGAGUCAUUCAAACUUAUUUUCAACCACUCCGCAAAUGUCUUGUUAACAAACUAUAGUUUUGGCAAGUCGGUUAGGACAUCUACUUUGUGCAUGACACAAUUCAUUUUUCCAACAAUUGUUUACAGACAGAUUAGUUCACUGUAUCACAAUUCCAGUGGGUCAGAAGUUUACAUACACUAAAUUGACUGUGCCUUUAAACAGCUUUGAAAAUUCCAGAAAAUGAUGUCAUGGCUUUAGAAGCUUCUGAUAGGCUAAUUGACAUAAUUUGAGUGAAUUGGAGGUGUACCUGUGGAUGUAUUUCAAGGCCUACCUUCAAACUCAGUGCCUCUUUGCUUGACAUCAUGGGAAAAUCAAAAGAAAUCAGCCAAGACCUCAGAAAAAAAAUUGUAGACCUCCACAAGUCUGGUUCAUCCUUGGAAGCAAUUUCCAAACGCCUGAAGGUACCACGUUCAUCUGUACAAACAAUAGUACGCAAGUAUAAACACCAUGGGACCACGUAGCCGUCAUAUCGCUCAGGAAGGAGACGCAUUCUGUCUCCUAGAGAUGAACGUACUUUGGUGCGAAAAGUGCAAAUCAAUCCCAGAACAACAGCAAAGGACCUUGUGAAAAUGCUGGAGGAAACAGGUACAAAAGUAUCUAUAUCCACAGUAAAAUGAGUCCUAUAUUGACAUAACCUGAAAGACUGCUCAGCAAGGAAGAAGCCACUGCUCAAAAACAGCCAUAAAAAAAGCCAGACUACGGUUUGCAACUGCACAUGGGGACAAAGAUCGUACUUUUUGGAGAAAUGUCCUCUGGUCUGAUAAAACAAAAAUGGAACUGUUUGGCCAUACUGACCAUCAAUAUGUUUGGAGGAAAAAGGGGGAGGCUUGCAAGCCAAAGAACACCAUCCCAACCGUGACGUAUGGGGGUGGCAGCAUCAUGUUGUGGGGGUGCUUUGCUGCAGGAGGGACUGGUGUACUUCACAAAACAGAUGGCAUCAUGAGGGAGGAAAAUUAUGUGGAUAUAUUGAAGCAACAUCUCAAGACAUCAGUCAGGAAGUUAAAGUGGGUCUUCCAAAUGGACAAUGACCCCAAGCAUACUUCCAAAUGUGUUGCAAAAUUGCUUAAGGACAACAAAGUCAAGGUAUUGGAGUGGCCAUCAUAAAGCCCUGACCUCAAUCCCAUAGAAAAUGUGUGGGAAGAACUGAAAAAGCCUGUACAAGCAAGGAGGUCUACAAACCUGACUCAGUUACACCAGCUCUGUCAGGAGGAAUGGGCCAAAAUUCACCCAACUUAUUGUGGGAAGCUUGUGGAAGGCUACCUGAAACAUUUGACCCAAGUUAAACCAUUUUAAAGGCAAUGCUACCAAAUACUUAAUUGACUGUAUGUAAACUUCUGACCCACUGGGAAUGUGAUGAAAGAAAUAAAAGCUGAAAUAAAUCAUUCUCUACUAUUAUUCUGUCAUUUCACAUUCUUAAAAUAAAGUGGUGAUCCUAACUGACCUAAAACACUAGGAUUAAAUGUCAGGAAUUGUGAAAAACUGAGUUUAAAUGUAUUUGGCUAAGGUGUAUGUACACUUUCGACUUCAACUGUAUGUAUAUCACUGCUGCUCUAACUAUAUGUGCUCACUAUGUGGCUUAAUCUUAAUAUCUUGUCUAUGGCUAUGCCUUUUGUCAUGUCGUGUGUUUUUGCUGUGCUGACUUUGAUGACUAAUAUCAGCAUUUGCUCUUUGUUUCUGUAAGAUUGACAUUUCUGGACUAUGUUGUUGUGCACGUCUUGGUAGUUUUUCCAUCAUAUUAGGUUUAUUAAUAUUGUCCAUGUUUGAUUUAUUAAAUGACAUUGAAUACCCUUUUGGGAUUUUCAGAGGACGUAAUAUCUACUGCGAGCAGUUAAUUAGACUUGUCUCGAUGAAGGGAUUAAGCUAUUUAUUAAAUGUUUUAAAUCAGUAUUAUGCUCAAAUUGAAUUAGUCAGCUAUAGUAUGGUAUUAGUAGUUUUUUUACGAUACUGACAGUACAUUUGUAAUGUAGUUUGUGUAAUUUGAAGUACAGUAGCAACUAUACAUGCCUUAGGAAAACCCAAAUACUUUCUGUCUUUCCUCCCAAAAUGUCAGUAAUCCUUGUUUCUUAUUUAUCUUGAACCUUGCCUUCUGGUAAGCACUGUUGCCUGGGCCUCUCUUGUAACUUUGCAUUUGUCUCUUCCUCUCUCUAGCUUCUUUUAAUCUAUCUUGCCCACCUGUCUGAAGAGGGGAUUGCAGCUUCAACGAGAACUAAGCACCCGUUUCCUCUUCCUGUCUUUUCUCUCUGCAUCAACCUUUUUUUAAACUUCUAUCUCAUCUGCUUUGUUGACCAUGGCCUAAUGUGGGCUUCACAUGGUAUUUUUUGGAUAGUUUACGUUUUGUCACCUAAUCAAGGUACACUUUGGCUAGUGGGAGUCCUUCACACUUAAUAUUUUGCAGCUCCGUCUUGGUGUAUCAAUGAACAAUGCUUUGCUCAGGUAGGAUUCUAAACGGUUGUUCAAGAGAAACACAUCUAAUAGUUUCAUCAUACCAAUUGUAACAGAGCCAAGGCUCUGGAUUAAUUUAUAUUUUUCACAAACCUAUCUGAAUUUCAUUAACAGUUCAUUUUAAGGAAGUCUUUGUGUAAUAACAUUCAAUCAUAUUACAUCCAUUUUGAGAAGGGCUUAUUCUGUUUGAAAUAACCGAUACUAUUACAAAUAACCUAUAUGAUUAAUGUGCUCCUCAUUAAAAGGGGGAGUUAGUUUUGAAUACAAAUAGCAUAACCCAGAUCUCAAUAAAACACUGAUAAAACCAAAAUACAUUCAUUUGGUGAUUGAUAGAGCAAAGUGUGACAUCUAACCUUACAUGUGUGACUAGUAGAUACUUUUGUCAGUUAGAAACCAAAAGACAAUUGCGAUCCAAUACAGUGUUCUUUAUGUUCACUGCAUAGGUUGUUGCAACUUAGAAGAGCCAGAGCCGUAUUCAUGUCAGGCACUAAUUUAGUGAAAACACCUUUUCCGUUCUGAAAUACCAUGUAGGUCACAUUUAAUGCCCUUUACACAUUGUGCUUUAACUACCAUCACCCUAUUCUGUAUUUUGCAUGUCUAAUGCUCUUUUAUUUCAUCACUUCUGUGAUCUUGACCUUUUGCUUCCAUAGCUGUUUUCUCACCUAACAGUUCCGUCUUGCACUAUUUCACAUUUGGUGCUCUAUAUUGUUUGGAUCAGUUUUAUCUUGUGUAUUACUCCUUGUUAUACCCUUCUCCACAAUUUUCAGCAUCCAUAUUGCCAAAUAUUACAAUGAGAUGGAGUUGAUUCCUAGGUACAGAUGGAAAUAUUUGUAUAAUUUAUAAGGAUAUAUUUUGUGUAUUGAAGUGGAGACCUGUUUAUGAGAUAUGAUCUUUGGAUGUGACUCUUCUCUCUGUGUAGUUACAUUUUGGUGUAAGAAAUUGUCAUACAUUUUUCUAGCAUCUGCCAUAAUCACCCGUCCUAGUGAAUUAUCUGUCCACUCCACAAAUUAAUUAUGAAAUAUUUUAUUGUAGUUUGAUUCCAUUGAUGUACUUUUUCAAUAAAAUUAUGAAAAUAAA